CAGUAGCCGCGGUAAUACAGAGGAUGCAAGCGUUAUCCGGAAUGAUUGGGCGUAAAGCGCGCGCAGGUGGUUAUAUAAGUCAGAUGUGAAAUCCCCGGGCUCAACCUGGGAACUGCAUUUGAGACUGUAUGGCUAGAGUGUGUCAGAGGGGGGUAGAAUUCCACGUGUAGCAGUGAAAUGCGUAGAUAUGUGGAGGAAUACCGAUGGCGAAGGCAGCCCCCUGGGAUAACACUGACGUUCAUGCACGAAAGCGUGGGGAGCAAACAGGAUUAGAUACCCGUGUAGUCCCUGUCUCUUAUAC
rnacentral:rRNA from 1 species